rnacentral:misc_RNA from 1 species
UCAAACUUGGUCAUUUAGAGGAAGUAAAAGUCGUAACAAGGUAACCGUAGGUGAACCUGCGGUUGGAUCAUUACAGUAUUUGCUGUCGCCGGUACACACUUUACCAGCGGCAGUCAAUCCACUCGCCUUCGGCGAACCAACCUUGUGUGAAUUGUGAUGUCUCUGGCGGUGGGAUGAAAGGCCGGUGUCAAAAGCCGGCCGCGUCUGUCAGCUUUGAUGGUUCUCAACCAAUGGAGCCGUGGACAAGCCGCCAACCACUUGUGUAAAACAUUUGAACCAAACACUGUCGUCUUAUUUCCACACUUUAUGUGAAAUACAUAAACAACUUUUGGCAACGGAUCUCUUGGCUCUCGCAUCGAUGAAGAACGCAGC